UGGGUGACUUGAGGGUGUGCUUGUAAAAGGAAACACUCUACCGCCUAAAGAUAGCGUAACGCUGAAGCUUCUCCCUUUGAUUACUUUUUAAAUCGGUUGUUGCUAUGUAACCAUCGGAUCGUGUACAUUAAAAUGUAACAGCAAUGACAACAGAAUAGGGUUCGCUGCGCUGCCCAGAGACAGAGCACCUUGUAGAGGGUGCGGUUCUCUAUCAAUCUUUUGUUCACAUUAAGCUGAAGCUUCUCCCUUUGAUUACUUAUUUAAAUCGGUUGUUGCUAUGUAACCAUCGGAUCGUGGACAUUAAAAUGCAACAGCAAUGACAACAGAAUAGGAUUCGCUGCUCAGCGACAGAGCACCUUGUACAGGAUAUGGAAGAUUCCAGGAUACCAAGGGGCGAGUAUCUGCUUUGGAGUGAAAGAGAAGUUGACUAUUUAAUUCAACUUUUAUUGGAGCUACAUACACCUGGUAUGAAAUCAGAAAGUGGGAUGAAGAGAAAGGUGUAUACAGUGAUUGGAAGGUAUGGGCCAGCUGGCCCAGUUUUUACAAGGGAGAAAAUUAAAAAUUAAAUUCAAGACUGCAAAAUCAAGUUUGACGAUCUGCAAAGAGAUUUUGAAUAUGAGCAAGUUUGGUUGGAUCCUGAUAAAAGGUAUAUUGAUGUUUCUCCUAAUGUUUGGGCUGAGUACAUCCAGGUAGUUGUGUGCAAAAUUUCAAGUACAAUUGUAUGGUGAAUUAAUCUUUGCCUGAGUAAUGUGGUAUGCAACAUAUUGCAGAAAUACCCAAACAAAAGAAAAUAGAAGUAUGCCCAAAGAUGGAGAUACUGCGAAGAAUUCCUUGAGAUCAGUGUUGUACGUAUUGUACAAUACGGGGCCGUAUCGUAUGAUACGUAUUGUCGCGUUUCAAAAAUGUGAUACGAUACACCACCUUUAUCAUACAGUUACGAUACAGGCAUCGUAUUGUACGAUACGAUUAUGAUACGUAAUGGUACAGUUACGAUACAUUAAAAUACAGUUACGAUACGUUAAUUUUUACUGAUUUUUUAUGAUUUUUUCUAUGUUUUCUGAUUAAUUAAAAAAAAAUACGAUACAGUUAUGAUACGUUACGAUAUUUUACGAUACAACGUAAAGCCAGGCCGAUACGGCUUACGAUACACUUUUUACAAUAAUGCUUAAGAUAUUUGGAAACUCUCUGCUGGUAAUAAUAGAGAUGCAUGCAGGAGCAUGUUCAUGAAUGAAGAUAAGAAAAGUAUCCGUAAUGCCCCCAAGGAUCAAUCCAAACACCAUCUGAUGCAAUAUAAUGAAUGCCAAUCAUUUAGAAAAUUGCUGAAGAGUGAAAGUCCCCUUCAGCCCUCACGACCUCAUACCCAAAUGUUUCAAGAGCAUUUUGUAUCAAAUGAAAUAAUCGAGGUACUGGCAAAUCUAGAAAAGGGGAACUGUUAGAUGAUAGUUUUCUUACAUUGCUGAAAAGCCGUUGCCAACUGUACUCAGAAUGUUCUAGGAAUUAUCAAUUUGAUCGUUCUGUAAAAAUACUGCAAGGUAUGCAGACUGCAGGAGAAAUAGAUGCUAAUAGGUAUGCGAGUGCUUUUGGCAAUCAUGGGCUUCUAGCAUUCAUCAACCAUGAACCUGAGCUGAGGGUGUCUUGGUUGCUUUUCAAACUAUCAGGAAAUUAGGUAUGACACAUUCAUCCACUUUCAUAGUUAGUUGUUUUGUAUGGCAGUUUUCAUUCAUGUCAAUUCUUGAUUGUUAUAGGUGAAACUCAAAUGCUUAUUCAUGUAUGAACAUGUUGUUACUUGUGAAAAGUUAAUGUUGUGGCAACCAUGUAUGGAUGUUUUGGCAAUCAUGUACGUGCAUGUAUAUUUGAAAUUAUUAUGUGCGUUUUAUCAUGUUAUGUCAUCAAAUUGUUAAUUGUGGGUCAUGUUGUUUCAUAGACAUGCUGCUAUACGAGCAGAGAGAACAACUCAUCAUUCAACUCAUGUUAUCAUUGCUUAUCUUCUUCUUUAGACAUUUACGAGUUGUCAAUGGACACUAAUUUUUUCAUUCAUAUACAGACGUUGGUUCCUCAUUCAUUCAAAAUAUCAUUCAUUACUCAUCUGAAGAAUUGUUUCAACUUACUACACAUAUCGCAUUUAUGUAAUACACUAAAAGAAAUCUAUUAGAAGAUGCUCAUGAGGUUAGCAUAGAAGAACAAGUAGUUGUUUUUCUUCAAAGCUUUUGAUAUAAUGGGUGCAAUCAUGUGUGUGAAAGUAUAUUUCAACAUGUGGGAUAAAAAACUAGUAAAUAUAACAAUUGUUGUUGUAUGUAUGGUCUAUCGAUUGGCAUAAGAACACCUUAUGGGAAAACAAUGGUGCCAAAAAAUUGAGGCAACUAUCAAUUUCAUCCAUAUCUUUGGACUCGUACAUGAAUGUUUAAGUUCUUACAAUACCAAUCGUAUAACUGUCGUCCUUAAAUGCACAUAGGAUCAUGUAAGAGCUAUUGAUGGCACUCAUUACCUGUUUGGGUGCCAUCAUUUGAACAAGGUAAAUUUUGCAAUGGAAAAUGAGGUUGUUCGCAAAACAUGAUAGCUGUAGUUUGAUUCAACAUACAAUUCCACUGUCAUGGUAGGAGGAAAAGGAAGUACAGUAGAUCAAAAAGCACUAUGUAGUUCGCUUAAUGAUCUAAACAACAUUUUUUUGGUAACUAAAGGUGGACAUGACUGUACUACACAAUAACAUAGUUCCAAAAGAUACUUUUUGAUGGCAUAAGAAAAUAUUAUUUUACUGAUGAGGCUUAUACAAACAUUGUGCAACUCUUAAUUGUAUAUGAAGCCAUCAUGUUCAUAUGUCUGAAUUUAACAUAAAAAGUGCACGAUCUGUUGAGACUACAGAAUCUGUUUAAUCAUUGAUAUUCUUCUCUACAAACAACCAUGAAGAGCAUAUGGAUUAUUGAAAGGACAGAUUCCUGUACUGAACUUGCAAGUGGAAUUUUUCUUUCAAAAACAAGCUCAAACUGUGGUACCUACAAGUCUAUUGAUAAUUUCAUUAUAGAAUGCAAACCAAAUGCAAGGCAAGUUAAUAUUGAGGUGGAUCCAUUGUGUGAUACUGCAUCAAGUGCAACCUUCUCAAGUGAAUGUGAAGUUGCAAUACAAUCAUCUCAACAUGAAGGCAAUAAUUCUUGGCACGUAGCCAUAACAGAUCAAUUUUCCAAGAUUUUGAAAUUAGUGUGUCAUUUUUCAUGAUACAUGCAUGCUUAUGUAGGAUAUCAUGAUAUGGUAAUUGAAUCAUUUGUCAAGUUUUGUUAUUAUGAUUAUACACUGUGAUCAAUUCAUCGUUCAUAGGACUUUGAAGAAGCUUGUUAGAAGCAAUUUUUUGUGUUUGAAGGCAGAGUACGAGACAUCUAUGACAAAUGGAAGCAUUAUCAUCCUCUAGUCCACAGAUAUGCAGGUGCAAUCUACAGGCCAUUCACCAUUUUGAAGUGGCAAACACGUAUGAAGGAGUGCCUGAAAAAAACAAGAGACAAAUAAUAGUCAAAACGUGUCUGGUCAUGUGACUCUGGCUGUUGAUUGUUAUGUUUGUAUUGUGGGUUACUAACGUUUCUAGAAUUGCAAAUUGACAUGUAUUGUGGGUUACUCUUGAGAUAUUGAAAAUUACAGCUCCCUGCUACACUUUAUCA